UACGAAGGGGGCUAGCGUUGUUCGGAAUUACUGGGCGUAAAGCGCGCGCAGGCGGUCUUCCAAGUCAGUGGUGAAAGCCCGGAGCUCAACUCCGGAACUGCCAUUGAAACUGUUAGACUUGAGGAUGAGAGAGGUGAGUGGAAUUCCCAAUGUAGAGGUGAAAUUCGUAGAUAUUGGGAAGAACACCGGUGGCGAAGGCGGCUCACUGGCUCAUUACUGACGCUCAGGCGCGAUAGCGUGGGGAUCAAACAGG
rnacentral:rRNA from 1 species